UUUAACUUAUAAUUUUUGCAGCAUAGGUGAUUUGAAUAUAAGUAUUUUAUUAUAAAUUAUUUCCUUCAGGUCUUCAGGGAAAAUUCUUGAGGAGAUGCACAAACUGCACACAAUGUGUGCAUGUCCGAAGCAAUGUUUGAAAGUUCUGCCAGUGUGACUUCCGAAACAGUAGAGAAUUAAUGAAGAAAGAAGAGGAAGCCCGUUUUCUACUUAAAGGCAAGAAGGCUUUAGAACGAAAUACAGCAAGCCAGGUUCUACGAAGGAUUGAAAAUCAGCACGCACAAGGAAGCUUGAUGCAGAUAAACUUACAUUAGGAUCAGAAGGUGAUAGCGAUAAUGCCCUG